rnacentral:rRNA from 1 species
AUACGUAGGGGGCGAGCGUUGUCCGGAAUGAUUGGGCGUAAAGGGCGCGUAGGCGGCGCGGUAAGUCUGGAGUGAAAGUCCUGCUUUCAAGGUGGGAAUUGCUUUGGAUACUGGGGGGCUUGAGUGCAGGAGAGGUUAUCGGAAUUCCCGGUGUAGCGGUGAAAUGCGUAGAGAUCGGGAGGAACACCAGUGGCGAAGGCGGGUAACUGGACUGCAACUGACGCUGAGGCGCGAAAGUGUGGGGAGCAAACAGGAUUAGAUACCCUGGUAGUCCACACUGUAAACGAUGAAUGCUAGGUGUAAGAGGUAUCGACCCCUUUUGUGCCGGAGUCAACACAAUAAGUAUUCCGCCUGGGGAGUACGGCCGCAAGGUUGAAACUCAAAGGAAUUGACGGGG